GAAAGUGGGGGACCUUCGGGCCUCACGCUAUUGGAUGAGCCUAAGUCGGAUUAGCUUGUUGGUGAGGUAAAGGCUCACCAAGGCGACGAUCCGUAGCUGGUCUGAGAGGACGAUCAGCCACACUGGGACUGAGACACGGCCCAGACUCCUACGGGAGGCAGCAGUGGGGAAUAUUGGACAAUGGGCGCAAGCCUGAUCCAGCAAUGCCGCGUGUGUGAAGAAGGCCUGCGGGUUGUAAAGCACUUUCAGUAGAGAAGAAAAGCCUAGGGUUAAUACCCCUGAGUCUUGACGUAACCUACAGAAGAAGCACCGGCUAACUCCGUG
rnacentral:rRNA from 1 species